ACAGGGAUUGCCCUAGUAACGGCGAGUGAAGCGGCAACAGCUCAAAUUUGAAAUCUGGCUCUUUUAGAGUCCGAGUUGUAAUUUGCAGAGGGCGCUUUGGCUUUGGCAGCGGUCCAAGUUCCUUGGAACAGGACGUCACAGAGGGUGAGAAUCCCGUACGUGGUCGCUGGCUAUUGCCGUGUAAAGCCCCUUCGACGAGUCGAGUUGUUUGGGAAUGCAGCUCUAAAUGGGAGGUACAUUUCUUCUAAAGCUAAAUAUUGGCCAGAGACCGAUAGCGCACAAGUAGAGUGAUCGAAAGAUGAAAAGCACUUUGGAAAGAGAGUCAAACAGCACGUGAAAUUGUUGAAAGGGAAGCGCUUGCAGCCAGACUUGCUUGCAGUUGCUCAUCCGGGCUUUUGCCCGGUGCACUCUUCUGCAGGCAGGCCAGCAUCAGUUUGGGCGGUAGGAUAAAGGUCUCUGUCACGUACCUCUCUUCGGGGAGGCCUUAUAGGGGAGACGACAUACUACCAGCCUGGACUGAGGUCCGCGCAUCUGCUAGGAUGCUGGCGUAAUGGCUGUAAGCGGCCCGUCUUGAAACACGGACCAAGGAGUCUAACAUCUAUGCGAGUGUUUGGGUGUCAAGCCCGAGCGCGUAAUGAAAGUGAACGGAGGUAGGAACCCGCAAGGGUGCACUAUCGACCGAUCCUGAUGUCUUCGGAAGGAUUUGAGUAAGAGCAUGGCUGUUGGGACCCGAAAGAUGGUGAACUAUGCUUGAAUAGGGUGAAGCCAGAGGAAACUCUGGUGGAGGCUCGCAGCGGUUCUGACGUGCAAAUCGAUCGUCAAAUUUGGGCAUAGGGGCGAAAGACUAAU
rnacentral:rRNA from 5 species